GAACCGAACAGCUCAUUUUCCAGGCGCUCGUUGGGAGCGGUGAGCUUGGACCAAUCUUCGUCUCUGGAUUCGUCCGACCAGCGGUUUCCUCCUCCUCCGCCGCCGC